AAUCUUAGCAUUCUUUUUUUUGUUGUUGUUGUUGUUGUUUGAGACAGAGGCUCGCCCUGUCGCCCAGGCUGGAGCGCAAUUGCGCAAUCUCGGCUCAUUGCAACCUCCACUUCUCAGGUUCAAGCAAUUCUCUUGCCUCAGCCUCUCAAGUAGUUGGGAUUACAGGCACCCACCACCACGCCCGACUAAUUUUAUGUAUUUUUAGUAGACACAGGGUUUCACCAUGUUGGCCAGGCUGCUCUCAAACUCUUGACCUGAGGUGAUCCACCUUGGCCUCCCAAAGUGUUGGGACUACAGGCGUGAGCCACUGCACCUGACUUAAUCUUAGCAUUCUUAAUGAAGACUUACAGUACAUAAGCCAUGAUUUUUUUGGUCAGGCAAUCAAUAGUUACUUAUUAGUGUCUACUCAAUGCAAAGCACCUUUCUUGGCAUUCUGGAGAAACAAAGAGAGAUUAUAAUUUAGGGAAGGAGAUAAAUUAAAAGGUUAAUUUAAAAAAUGAUAAGUGCACAGUUGAAGAGAUGUCACAAGCCAAGAAGACUGGCACAAAUGGUAGUGCUAAAGGAGUUCUUGGUCAUGGUGCCAUGUGCCUGUAAUCCCAGUUACUUGAGAGGCUGUGACAGGAGGGUUGCUUGAACCAAGGUGUUCAAGACUAGCCUGAGCAACAUAGCAAGUCCCGAUCUCAAAAAAAAAAAAAAAAGUUAUAAAAAAAGAUAGGUUCAAAUCCUAGCUAGGGAAAAAAAGAUAGAAGUCACUAGACUGGCAUAUUCUACAAAAGCAUAAUUGCUAGACUUUCUUAUGCGUCCUGCCUUUGUAACUGCUGUUGCCUCUGCCUGAUCUCCUUUCCACCUACUCUUUCCCACAAACUAAUUCAUGUGCUUCAAAACUACUAUUUUUUUCGUAUCAUUUCUAAUAUGGUGCUUGAUGCCUAGAACAUGUAGUCAUCUAUGUAAUGCCCAUUCCCAACAAACUUCCAAGCUUUUGUUAAUGCUGGAAUAAAUUAAUAUAAACCUAAAGUUUAUGAAUUAGUAUAAACCUAAAUGUCUGAAAAUAAUAGACAUGUAGUAUUGUAUUCUUACCUCAAAAUAUGUUGAAUCUUGCCAACAUUAAAUCAACACUGGUGUUCUUGCCUGUUAA
rnacentral:lncRNA from 10 species